rnacentral:piRNA from 1 species
UGCUUUUCCAGAGGCUUUUUAUUGUGCUA